AAAUCCUUUUCGGCCUUUCAUAUUUAAAUGAUUUUUAUUCAGAAACAUGUCAGAGAAUCCACUGUAAUAUUGAACGUUCAUGGCUAAUGAAUAGAACUUGCAAAGUGGCUAGUUUUGAAAUGUAAAAACAGACGACGGCCUCAAAUGAAAAAAGAAGCAGUUUACGCAAUCGUCUCUUGUUAGAAAAAUACCAUGAACUGGAGAGUUAGCAAAACUGUGGUUGUUGUCUGGUUACCCAGGUACAUUGGUAGAGGGCAAUGAAAAGGUUGAUGAAGUGGAUAAGGCCAGUACAUACCAACCUGAGGACUUCACUGCCAUCCUGCUUCCGAUGCUAAAACUGCAUUAAAAAAACAAGAGAAACUGGCAGAAUCAGGUCGGAUCCAUGGAUCCUGAAACGGCGAUUGACUGAGUGUCAUACUCCAGCAGGACAAUUCUGCAGUGGAUCUUCACACAAUCCUGUUAAAAUCGAGAAGUCUCGUCAAUUUGUUAAUUACCGUCCCUUGGUUAUUUUGGAAAUGGAUCCUCUUGGGUCAACAAGCUUUCCUCGGCUGGUAUUAUCGCAAUUAACGUAAUCAAGACUGUUGCCAUGGUCUGUUAAGAAUUAAUUAUACGGAUUUCUUUUCAACGUUAACGCAGAUUCAUUGCUUUA